rnacentral:rRNA from 1 species
GACGAACGCUGGCGGCGUGCUUAACACAUGCAAGUCGAACGGAAAGGCCCUUCGGGGUACUCGAGUGGCGAACGGGUGAGUAACACGUGGGAGAUCUGCCCUGCACUUUGGGAUAAGCCUGGGAAACUGGGUCUAAUACCGAAUAGGACCACGCGCUUCAUGGUGUGUGGUGGAAAGCUUUUGCGGUGUGGGAUGGGCCCGCGGCCUAUCAGCUUGUUGGUGGGGUAAUGGCCUACCAAGGCGACGACGGGUAGCCGGCCUGAGAGGGUGACCGGCCACACUGGGACUGAGAUACGGCCCAGACUCCUACGGGAGGCAGCAGUGGGGAAUAUUGCACAAUGGGCGCAAGCCUGAUGCAGCGACGCCGCGUGAGGGAUGACGGCCUUCGGGUUGUAAACCUCUUUCAAUAGGGACGAAGCGCAAGUGACGGUACCUAUAGAAGAAGCACCGGCCAACUACGUG